rnacentral:lncRNA from 1 species
UAUUGACACAUUUCUUAUUUAAGUUUGAGCCAUGGUUCACCAGUGAGUGCAAAGUUGUCAUUGAAUCCCUCACCUAAUAGUUAUUGGGCCCAAUCCCAUCUUUACCCCAAGGCAUCUGAUGCCAAUAGAGUGGUUGUAUUUUUUUGAUGCAAUUGAAUUACUGUAACUAGCCGAAAAUGAUCAAUGCCGAAAAAAGUACCUGCAUCUCUAUAAUGGUGGAAGACCAGUAGA